CUGCAGUUUUGCUGAUGAUGCUGCACUGGUGGAAGAGGGAGGGAAUUUGAAGCUCAAAGCCAGUUGCUGAAAUACCCUUCUUCUGGAGACACAAGGCCUGAUUCUGCAAGAAAUGAGUGAAGACCACUUCCUCUGAGGUCAUUAAAUUUCAGGCUGACCUUCGGACCCUGCCAAAAAAAAUGUUCUGUAUGAACUUGAGUUUGCAAGGUCCCUGUUUUCAGUUCCGAAUACGCCGCGUUCUGAAAAAGGACAUCUGUGAUAAGAUGGAACUUGGCAUCGGUAACUCAUGUCCUCUGAGUGAAGCAUGCUCAAAUGAGGCGGACCCAGAGCUUUGCAACCUUUGAAGGAUGACUGACUGCAAGUCAUGUUUUGAAGCUGUUUUUGUCGGAGUCAUGGCAAAUGUUAC